rnacentral:tRNA from 1 species
GGGGUUGUGGCUCAGUGGUAGAGUGCUUGCCUCUGGCGCAUGAAGCCCUGGGUUCCAUCCUCAGCACCACA